rnacentral:rRNA from 1 species
GACGAACGCUGGCGGCGUGCUUAACACAUGCAAGUCGAACGGGAUCCAAAGGCUUUUUGUUUUUGGUGAGAGUGGCGAACGGGUGAGUAACACGUGAGUAACCUGCCCCCUUCUUUUGGAUAACCGCAUGAAAGUGUGGCUAAUACAGGAUAUUCCAGGCUGGUCGCAUGAUUGGUUUGGGAAAUGGUUUGGUCUGGUGGGGGAUGGGCUCGCGGCCUAUCAGCUUGUUGGUGGGGUGAUGGCCUACCAAGGCGGUGACGGGUAGCCGGCCUGGGAGGGUGGGCGGUCACACUGGGACUGAGAUACGGCCCAGACGCCUACGGGAGGCAGCAGUGGGGGAUUUUGCACAAUGGGCGCAAGCCUGAUGCAGCGACGCCGCGUGAGGGAUGAAGGCCUUCGGGUUGUAAACCUCUUUCGCUGGGUUGAAAGGCCAUGCUUUGGGUGUGGUUGAUUUGAACUGGUAAAGAAGUACCGGCUAACUACGUG